rnacentral:rRNA from 1 species
CACGUAGGGGGCAAGCGUUGUCCGGAUUUAUUGGGCGUAAAGAGCUCGUAGGUGGUUCGGUAAGUCGGGUGUUAAACCCCCAGGCUCAACCUGGGGACGCCACUCGAUACUGCUGUGACUAGAGUCCGGUAGGGGAGCGUGGAAUUCCUGGUGUAGCGGUGAAAUGCGCAGAUAUCAGGAGGAACACCAGCGGCGAAGGCGGCGCUCUGGGCCCGUAACUGACGCUGAGGUGCGAAAGCGUGGGGAGCAAACAGG